AGGUGUGCUGGAGUUUGCUGGAGGUCCACUACAGACCCUGUUUUCCUCGGUAUCACCAGCGGAGGCUGCAGAAAGCAAAGUUGCCUGCCAUCUAGUGGAUGUAAUGCAGUCAAGUCAGCAAGUGCUUUCUUUCAAAGCAAUCAACGGUGCUUAUUGAGUCAUGCAAUAAUGUCAUUUGAAUAAAAACAAGGCCAGGAGCUUAUCCUACAGCACACCCCCAGAAUAAAACCAUCUCUGGUGAAGACUUAAAGGAACUAUGAAAAGACAAAAACCAGAUCAUUUUUGUGCUUGGCUAAUCAAAAACCAAUUCCUUUUAAAGCCAAGCACAUUAAAUAAAAAGGGAAUUGCUAUUUUUAUGCUGUCUUUGCAUGUUCUUGUGCUUAGUCUACAAAUAACUUUAUUUUGCUUCAAC
rnacentral:lncRNA from 10 species